rnacentral:rRNA from 1 species
UAGGGAAUCUUCCACAAUGGACGCAAGUCUGAUGGAGCAACGCCGCGUGAGUGAAGAAGAUCUUCGGAUCGUAAAACUCUGUUGUUAGAGAAGAACACGAGUGAGAGUAACUGUUCAUUCGAUGACGGUAUCUAACCAGCAAGUCACGGCUAACUACGUGCCAA